rfam:Camelus ferus unplaced genomic scaffold scaffold1891, whole genome shotgun sequence.
GAGGGUAUAGCUCACUGGUAGAGCAUGUGCUUAGCAUGCACGAGGUCCUGGGUUCAAUCCCCAGUACCUCCA